AUUUCUGCCCUAUCAACUUUCGACGGCUGGGUCUUGGCCAGCCGUGGUGACAACGGGUAACGGAGGGUUAGGGUUCGACCCCGGAGAAGGAGCCUGAGAGACGGCUACUACAUCCAAGGAAGGCAGCAGGCGCGCAAAUUACCCAAUCCCGACUCGGGGAGGUAGUGACAAUAAAUACUGAUCCAGGGCUCUUUUGGGUCUUGGAAUUGGAAUGAGUACAAUUUAAAUCCCUUAACGAGGAACAAUUGGAGGGCAAGUCUGGUGCCAGCAGCCGCGGUAAUUCCAGCUCCAAUAGCGUAUAUUAAAGUUGUUGAGGUUAAAAAGCUCGUAGUUGAACCUUGGCCCUGGCUGGCCGGUCCGCCUCACCGCGAGCACUGGUCCGGCCGGGGCUUUCCCUCUGGGGACCCUCAUGCCCUUCACUGGGUGUGCUGGGGAACCAGGACUUUUACUGUGAACAAAUCAGAUCGCUCAAAGAAGGCUCUCGCUCGAAUGCUUCAGCAUGGAAUAAUAAAAUAGGACGUGCGGUUCUAUUUUGUUGGUUUCUAGGACCGCCGUAAUGAUUAAUAGGGACAGUCGGGGGUGUCAGUAUUCAAUCGUCAGAGGUGAAAUUCUUGGAUCGAUUGAAGACUAACUACUGCGAAAGCAUUCACCAAGGAUGUUUUCAUUAAUCAGUGAACGAAAGUUAGGGGAUCGAAGACGAUCAGAUACCGUCGUAGUCUUAACCAUAAACUAUGCCGAUUAGGGAUCGGGCGAUGUUAUUUUUUUGACUCGUUCGGCACC
rnacentral:rRNA from 1 species